GACGAACGCUGGCGGCGUGCUUAACACAUGCAAGUCGAACGGAAAGGCCCUGCUUUUGUGGGGUGCUCGAGUGGCGAACGGGUGAGUAACACGUGAGUAACCUGCCCUUAACUUUGGGAUAACUUCAGGAAACUGGGGCUAAUACCGGAUAGGAGCUCCUGCUGCAUGGUGGGGGUUGGAAAGUUUCGGCGGUUGGGGAUGGACUCGCGGCUUAUCAGCUUGUUGGUGGGGUAGUGGCUUACCAAGGCUUUGACGGGUAGCCGGCCUGAGAGGGUGACCGGCCACAUUGGGACUGAGAUACGGCCCAGACUCCUACGGGAGGCAGCAGUGGAGAAUAUUGCACAAUGGGCGGAAGCCUGAUGCAGCAACGCCGCGUGCGGGAUGACGGCCUUCGGGUUGUAAACCGCUUUCGCCUGUGACGAAGCGUGAGUGACGGUAAUGGGUAAAGAAGCACCGGCUAACUACGUG
rnacentral:rRNA from 1 species